rnacentral:tRNA from 1 species
GGACCUUUAGGCUCAGUUGGUUAGAGCAGACGGCUCAUAACCGUCCGGUCGUAGGUUCGAGUCCUACAAGGUCCACCA